rnacentral:rRNA from 1 species
CGAGUCGAGAGGGUUCGGCCCUCGGCUGACGGCUCAGUAACACGUGGAUAAUCUGCCCUUAGGUGGAGGAUAAUCUCGGGAAACUGAGGACAAUACUCCAUAGGUUUAGGAGGCUGGAAUGCAUCUAAACUGAAAGCUCCGGCGCCUAAGGAUGAGUCUGCGGACUAUCAGGUAGUAGUCAGGGUAAAGACCUGACUAGCCUACGACGGAUACGGGUUGUGAGAGCAAUAACCCGGAGACGAUAUCUGAGACACGAUAUCGGGCCCUACGGGGCGCAGCAGGCGCGAAAACUUCACACUGUGCGAAAGCACGAUGAGGGAAUCCCAAGUGCUUGCUCGUAAGAGUAAGCUGUUUCUCUGUCUAAAACGCAGAGAGAGUAAGAGCUGGGUAAGACGGGUGCCAGCCGCCGCGGUAAUACCUGCAGCUCGAGUGGUGGCCGCUAUUAUUGGGCCUAAAACGUCCGUAGCCGGUUUAGUAAAUGCCUGGGUAAAUCGUGUAGCUUAACUAUACGAAUUCCGGGUAGACUGCUAAACUUGAGACCGGGAGAGGCUAGAGGUACUCCUGGGGUAGAGGUGAAAUUCUGUAAUCCUGGGGGGACCACCAGUGGCGAAGGCGUCUAGCUAGAACGGAUCUGACGGUGAGGGACGAAGCCCUGGGGCGCAAACCGGAUUAGAUACCCGGGUAGUCCAGGGUGUAAACGAUGCGGGCUAGGUGUUGGGGUGGCCACGAGCCACUUCAGUGCCGCA